rnacentral:rRNA from 1 species
GACGAACGCUGGCGGCGUGCCUAAUACAUGCAAGUAGAACGCUGAAGGAGGAGCUUGCUUCUCUGGAUGAGUUGCGAACGGGUGAGUAACGCGUAGGUAACCUGCCUGGUAGCGGGGGAUAACUAUUGGAAACGAUAGCUAAUACCGCAUAAGAGUAGAUGUUGCAUGACAUUUGCUUAAAAGGUGCAAUUGCAUCACUACCAGAUGGACCUGCGUUGUAUUAGCUAGUUGGUGAGGUAACGGCUCACCAAGGCAACGAUACAUAGCCGACCUGAGAGGGUGAUCGGCAACACUGGGCCUGAGAACCGGCCCAGCCUCCUCCGGGAGGAAGAAGAAGGGAAUCUUCGCAAAUGGACGAAGUCUGACCGAGCAACGCCGCGUGAGUGAAGAAGGUUUUCGGAUCGUAAAGCUCUGUUGUAAGAGAAGAACGAGUGUGAGAGUGGAAAGUUCACACUGUGACGGUAUCUUACCAGAAAGGGACGGCUAACUACGUG